AUGGCUUGCGCUCGUGUGUGCGUCGUGCUUCUUUGCUGCUCCCUCCCGGCCUCCGCCGCGGCUGGUGCAGGUGCAGGUGCAGGUGCGGCCGCCGGCGCCGGCCCGGCCGAUGCGGAUGGGGAUCCUUCCAAGGAGAUGGAGUGCAAGCUGAAGAGCAUCACGGUGUCGGCGCUGCCUUUCCUGCGGGAGAACGACCUGAGCAUCAUGCACAGCCCGUCGGCCUCCGAGCCCAAGCUACUCUUCUCGGUGCGCAACGAUUUCCCCGGCGAGAUGGUGGUGGUCGACGACCUGGAGAACACCGAGCUGCCCUACUUCGUGCUGGAGAUUUCAGGCAACACAGAAGAUAUCCCAUUGGUGCGUUGGAGGCAGCAGUGGCUGGAAAAUGGCACGCUGCUUUUCCAUAUCCACCACCAAGAUGGCACUCCCAGCUUGCCUGGUUUGGAACCCACAGAAGAACCCCAGAGCGAAUCGGCAGAAGAAGAGCUAAGAAUCCUUCACAUCUCAGUAAUGGGAGGGAUGAUUGCCUUGCUGCUUUCUAUCUUGUGUCUCGUCAUGAUCCUCUACACGCGCCGGCGUUGGUGCAAGCGCCGCCGGGUGCCGCAGCCCCAGAAAAGUGCCAGCGCUGAAGCGGCCAAUGAGAUUCACUAUAUCCCCUCUGUGCUGAUUGGGGGCCACGGCCGGGAGAGCUUGCGCAAUGCCCGGGUGCAAGGCCACAACUCCAGCGGGACUCUGAGUAUCCGGGAGACUCCCAUCCUAGAUGGCUAUGAGUAUGACAUCACUGACUUGCGCCACCACCUGCAGCGGGAAUGCAUGAAUGGUGGUGAGGACUUUGCCAGCCAGGUCACCAGAACACUGGACUCGCUGCAGGGUUGCAAUGAGAAGUCAAGCAUGGAUCUCGCGCCAGGAAGUGACAAUGCCAAGCUGUCCUUGAUGAACAAGUACAAGGAUAAUAUCAUCGCCACCAGUCCUGUGGACUCCAACCACCAACAGGCUACACUGCUCUCUCAUACGUCCAGUAGCCAACGCAAGCGGAUCAAUAACAAGUCACGAGCUGGCUCUGCAUUUCUGAAUCCUGAAGCGGAUUCUGGGACAGAAGCGGACAAUGAUCCCCAGCUGACCUUUUACACAGACCCAUCGCGGAGCCGGCGGCGAAGUAGAGUGGGUUCACCAAGGAGUCCAGUAAGCAAGACUACCCUGACGCUUAUUAGCAUCACCAGCUGCGUCAUUGGCCUGGUCUGUGCCUCCCACGUGAACUGCCCACUUGUGGUCAAGAUAACACUGCAUGUUCCAGAGCACCUUAUUGCUGACGGGAGCCGCUUUAUCUUGCUAGAGGGCAGCCAGUUAGAUGCCAGUGACUGGUUAAACCCUGCCCAGGUGGUUCUCUUCUCCCAGCAAAACUCCAGUGGGCCCUGGGCCUUGGACUUGUGCUCCCGCCGGCUUCUUGACCCCUGCGAACAUGAGUGUGACCCUGAAACUGGCGAAUGCCUUUGCUAUGAAGGUUACAUGAAGGAUCCAGUGCACAAGCACCUUUGCAUCAGGAAUGAAUGGGGCACAAACCAAGGGCCAUGGCCAUAUACCAUAUUCCAACGUGGAUUUGAUUUGGUGCUGGGAGAACAGCCUUCUGACAAGAUAUUCAGAUUUACCUACACUCUUGGGGAAGGAAUGUGGUUGCCACUGAGCAAGAGCUUUGUAAUCCCACCAGCUGAACUGGCCAUCAAUCCAUCUGCCAAGUGCAAAACGGACAUGACAGUAAUGGAGGAUGCUGUGGAGGUCAGGGAGGAACUGAUGACUUCAUCCUCCUUUGACAGCCUGGAGGUUCUUCUGGAUUCAUUUGGGCCAGUUCGGGACUGCUCCAAGGACAAUGGUGGCUGCAGCAAGAACUUCCGUUGCAUUGCAGAUCGGAAAUUGGACUCCACUGGUUGUAUGUGCCCCCCUGGGCUCAGCCCCAUGAAAGAUGGCACAGGCUGCUACGAUCGCCACAUCGGUGUGGACUGCUCGGAUGGGUUUAAUGGAGGUUGUGAGCAGCUUUGUCUGCAGCAGAUGGUGCCUUUGCCAGAAGAUCCCACUUUGUACAAUAUCCUCAUGUUCUGUGGAUGCAUUGAAGAUUACAAGCUAGGGAUGGAUGGGCGAUCGUGCCAGUUAAUUUCGGAGUCCUGUCCAGAGGGUGGCGACUGUGAAGAGAGCCGAGAGCUGCCCAUGAACCAAACUUUAUUUGGGGAGAUGUUCUAUGGUUACAACAAUCAAACCCGUGAGGUGGCACCUGGACAGGUGCUGAAGGGAAUAUUCAGGCAGAAUAACUUUGCACGUGGUUUGGAGCAGCAACUGCCAGAUGGGCUGGUGUUGGCCACCGUUCCACUAGAGAACCAGUGCCAGGAAGAGCUCUCUGAGCCAACCCCUGAUCCAGAUUUUCUAACUGGGAUGGUGAAUUUCAGUGAGGUGUCUGGAUACCCUCUGCUGCAACUCUGGAAAGUGCACUCUGUCAUGUACCAUGUCCGGCUCAACCAGCUGACUACCUCUCAAUCUUUUGGCAAUGCCCUCCAUUCUUUGGAUGGAGCCACAUCCCGAGGAGAUUUUGUAGCUCUCCUGGACCACUUUGGCAACCAUUAUAUCCAGGAAGCGGUCUACGGCUUUGAGGAGUCCUGCUCUAUCUGGUAUCCCAACCGGCAGGUCCAAAAGCAGCUCUGGCUGGAAUAUGAAGAUAUCAGCAAAGGUAAUUCCCCCUCGGAUGAGUCUGAAGAGCGUGAGCGAGAUCCCAGGGUCCUCACUUUUCCAGAGUACAUUGCCAGUUUGUCAGAAUCGGGGACCAAGCGCAUGGCAGCCGGCGUGCGUAUGGAGUGCCAAAGCAGAGGCCGCUGCCCUUCAUCCUGUCCUUUAUGUCACGUGACCUCUAGCCCAGAUGCUCUGGCUGAACCCAUCCUCCUGGAGGUCACCAAAGCAGCACCCAUUUAUGAGCUGGUCACCAACAAUCAGACUCAGAAGCUGUUGCAGGAGGCCACCAUGAGUUCCCUGUGGUGCUCGGGCAGUGGGGAUGUCAUCGAGGACUGGUGCCGGUGUGACUCAAGCGCAUUCGGCGCUGACGGGCUUCCAGCCUGUGCACCCCUCCCACACCCUGUGCUGAGGCUGUCCACUGUUCACGAGCCCAGCAGCUCCCUGGUGGUGCUGGAGUGGGAGCACUCGGAACCCCCAAUCGGGGUGCAGAUUGUUGAUUACCUCAUCCGCCAGGAGAAGGUCACGGACCGCUUGGACCAUUCCAAGGUGGAAACUGAGAUGGUGCUGAGUUUUGUGGACGACAUCAUCUCUGGAGCCAAGUCCCCCUGCGUGAUGCCAGCACAGGUGCCCGACAAACUCUCUACAACCAUCUCCUUGAUCAUUCGCUGCUUGGAGCCUGAUACCACCUACAUGUUCACGCUCUGGGGUGUGGAUAACACAGGGAGACGCUCAAGAUCAAGUGAUGUGACAGUGAAGACCCCUUGUCCAGUGGUGGAUGAUGUGAAGGCCCAAGAAAUAGCAGACAAGAUCUACAACCUCUUUAAUGGCUACACCAGUGGGAAGGAGCAGCAAACUGCCUACAACACCCUUCUGGACCUGGGCUCACCGAGUCUUCACCGGGUCCGCUAUCACUACAACCAGCACUACGAGAGCUUUGGGGAGUUCACCUGGCGGUGUGAGGAUGAACUGGGACCUCGAAAAGCUGGCCUCAUCCUUUCACAGCUUGCGGAACUCAGCACCUGGUGCCAGGGCCUCUUACAGGAGCCCAAGAUUGGCCUUCAGCGCACAUCUCUCAAAUUCCUUGCCUGCCGCUACAGUGAGAUCAAGCCAUAUGGAUUCAGCUGGUUGGAGCUGAGUCGGGACCUCAAGAAAACCUGUGAAGAACAGUUGCUGAGUGUCCUCUACAAUGACUAUGGGGAUAAAGACAACUGAGUGGGCUCAAGGAAAGAAGUCAAAGGACUUCCUCAGAGUCAGGGGGAAGACAGGGAAUUUGUAGGCACCAUUCAUUGGAUUCCUAAAGCUUUAGAUCUUCUUGGCCAAAAGCUGACUUUAUGGUGCUGUGGGACCACUACAUCCUGUGUCCAUUGCCACUUGCAAAGUAGCCCAACAUUGCUCGUUUAAUAAGCAUUUAAAACAGUAUUAUAAUACAAAACAGGAAAGCCACCAUGCUCUUCAGGAUUAUUAAUCUGCUUCAGUGAGUUCACACUAGAUUGUGUUGUGCUUUUAAAGUGUGCUUUAUUCUACUAAUUUGCAGAUAUAUCCA